UUAAAGAACAAUGAUAGUUAGACAUGUGUAACAAAGUGGUAUCAUCUUACUCUUGAACUAGGAAAUCAGUUUCUUCAGGUGUAGCUCCAUAUUGGUUGGGCUUCAAGUUUUAGUGCCUUUGUCAGUUCUCCUCUAUUGUAGACGUCUACCAGUAGGGGUCUUAUUCUCUGAAGCUAUCUUUUAUUGGUUUUCAUGUUCAUAUGUCUUUGUUGUCUCUUCACUCCUAAUAACAGAUGUUACCAUAAAUGUUAGUAACUCCAGGGAUCUCCUUAGGCACUAUCCAGCUUUGACCAUCAGUUGGACAGAUGAUGAGACCUCUGUAUCUCCUGAACUUACAAGAUGUUGCAUCAUCACCAAGCACUGUAUCUGGAUCCUUCAUUUACUAAGUGACUCCUGGAUCAGAAAUCUCAUCCUGGGUCUCCACCUAACUAGUGCCAUGACUUCAUGCAAUUACCAGAAAAAUCAGAAAAAUGGUUUUACGGAGAAUGGAGAAAAUGAAGAAAUGAUGAUUUGGAUUGCAUUGCUGAAGUGGGAAUGAAGAG
rnacentral:lncRNA from 1 species